AACCAAUAUUUUUGGUGACUCAUAAUAACUUUACGGAUCACAUUAUGUGACAUAUCAUUCAAGUUUCUGACCUAUCAGCUUUAGACGGUAGGGUAUUGGCCUACCGUGGCUAUGACGGGUAACGGGGAAUUAGGGUUCGAUUCCGGAGAGGGAGCCUGAGAAACGGCUACCACAUCUAAGGAAGGCAGCAGGCGCGCAAAUUACCCAAUCCUAAUACAGGGAGGUAGUGACAAGAAAUAACAAUACAGAACCUUACGGUUUUGUAAUUGGAAUGAGUUAAGUAUAAACCCCUUAACAAGUAUCAAUUGGAGGGCAAGUCUGGUGCCAGCAGCCGCGGUAAUUCCAGCUCCAAUAGCGUAUAUUAAAGUUGUUGCAGUUAAAAAGCUCGUAGUUAAUCUUCUGUUAAUUUUUAUAUAUAAUAUCUCGAUAUUUAUAUAAUAUUAACAUAAUUCAUAUUACUUUUUAGUAUAUGAAACUUUACUUUAAGAAAAUUAGAGUGCUUAAAGCAGGCUAUUGCCUUGAAUACUCCAGCAUGGAAUAAUAUUAAGGAUUUUUAUUCUUCUUAUUGGUUCUAGAAUAAAAAUGAUGAUUAAUAGGAACAGUUGGGGGCAUUUGUAUUUAACAGUCAGAGGUGAAAUUCUUAGAUUUGUUAAAGACAAACUACUGCGAAAGCAUUUGCCAAGGAUGUUUUCAUUAAUCAAGAACGAAAGUUAGGGGAUCGAAGACGAUCAGAUACCGUCGUAGUCUUAACCAUAAACUAUGCCAACUAGAGAU
rnacentral:rRNA from 1 species